GAUCCUGCUCAGGAUGAACGCUGGCGGCGUGCCUAACACAUGCAAGUCGAGCGAAGCACUUUGCUUAGAUUCUUCGGAUGAAGAGGAUUGUGAAUGAGCGGCGGACGGGUGAGUAACGCAUGGGUAACCUGCCUCAUACAGGGGGAUAACAGUUAGAAAUGACUGCUAAUACCGCAUAAGACCACAGCACCGCAUGGUGCGGGGGUAAAAACUCCGGUGGUAUGAGAUGGACCCG
rnacentral:rRNA from 1 species